CUUGACCGCAGCACAUCCAUUUUCCUUACAGUAUGUAGUACGCAUUCUACCUUUUUCUACAAUGAAUCCACUAGGCAGAAAUUCCUGUACACAUCUUAUGAACAGAGAAUUUGAACCUCAAAGAGUGGCUUAAAGAGGUCAGGAGGCACCUUCAACACUUUUAUUGGAGAUCUUGUCUAGAUCUUCGGAUUCUCACUCUGUCACCUAGGCUGCAGUGCAGUGGUGCGAUCUCAACUCACUGCAACCUCUACCUCCUGGGUUCAAGCAAUUCUCCUGCCUCAGCCUCUCAAGUAGCUGGAAUUACAGGAAUUACACACUAAUAGUGAAGAACAGGUGGCACCUGAAAUCAAGGAAAAUUUAUUUGUCCUCAAUGCAAAGAUAAACUAUAAAGAGCACUUUAUUGUGUUUGAAGAAUGUAGGAAUGAUAAGUGAAAUGGUGAAGGAAGUGGAUAAACAAUGAUGUAAUGACUGAGCGUCAUCUUUCAACUGAAUAAGCCAGUGAGGAAAUUGGUAAAUUUGUCAAUUAUAUUUAAUUUUACAAUGUUUAAUUCUUUAUUAUUUUGAAGUGAUGUUUUUUAUUAUUAGGAAUGAUCAAUAGUAAUGCAUCCUCCAAAACUGUGGAAAGAUCAUAUUGUGCAAACUAGAGCAAAAAAUCGCAUUCCUCUCGCAUGGGCAUGAAAUCUUUAUCAAAUGACAUCAGGCACUGAAGCAGCUAUCUGAUACCUUCCUCGCUUCCACCAAAUGGAAAGGUUAUUUUAGGAUUCUCUCUUUGUCUCUUAUGCUGCAAACAUAGUCACUCUCCUCAGUCUUCCUACUCACAAUACCACUCCCUUCACAAAUAAAGGACAAAUACUUAUUCAUGGUUCCAUGAAAAGGAAUAACUACUAAGACCUUGACAUUCUUGAAAAAGCAUAUAUUUGUUGUUCUAAGUAAUGUUUAUGAUCAACGUUCUUGUGCAACCAGAUAUGGUUUCUAACAGGAAGCUUAUAAAUUUUUCUUAUAAUUGCUGUCAAAACCGCAGUGAAGUGUACUACAAGUUUUGAUAAUAAAGAAUAAAGUCACAGUUCAAACUCGAUUAUAUUUUGGAAAUUCAUGUGCCUGUUACUAGAAGCAGUGGCCUUAAAUAUCUUCCCAUCCUGCCAAAUUUUUCACUUGCACUUUUUAUUAUUUAUGAAAUCAGUCUCUGCACAAUGUCAUGCAGACCUGUGCUGAUAAACUCUAAUUAAGAUUAAGACAAGCCUUUUGGAAAGGAUCCCAUCAUUAGCAAACAUGAUAAACACAAAAAUACUCCCUACUUGUCAACCAGGAGCAAUUCAGUAACCUAACAGUAUUAUCUGUUGCUAGGUUACAGAGCUGACAAAGCUUCAAUUAUAUUGUUCGACCAUACCUAUAGAGUUCUGUAUAAGCAAAACGUAUCCAGAAUAAAAGCUUCUAGCUUCAUCCAUGCUAUCUGCAAUUCAUGGCUUCUUACAAUGGUAAAAAUCAGGUUAAUAAUUACAUAGCAUGCUGAAAAAUCUUUUCCAUGUGUUAUGUCUAUACAUGUUUCUUUCUAAUUUAUCUGUGUGAUUGAUAGACGCUUGCUUCAUAAAAAGAAGGAAACGCAAGGAAUGUGAAGCUGUAAACCUCUAGCACAACUACGGGGGCUCAUCAAGAUAUGGACCUAAGCGUAGCUUAGGUAUAUAAAAUAUGUAGCAAAUUGAACCAAUUAAAUCACAUUUAGAUUUUGUAUUACUCUGCCUCAAUAUAUAGUAGGAUAAGGAGCCUCAGGCAAUAGAUGGGAAUAUCAGUGUGAAACUUUAUUUUAAGCUAAAAACAAACAAGCAAACAAACCACAUACAUCCUCACUAACAAUACAAAAGGAAAGAGAUGAUUUAAAAUAACAAGUUAUUCUAAUGGCUUUUCUAAAGACAUUUAAAAGUUAGUUAAUGACUUUUACUGCAUAGCAUCGUCCCUAAGUCUCAUUUCUCUUUUUUAGACUAGAAAUUCUAGGGGGAAAAUCAAUAAACCAUCCUCCAAAAUACAGAUAUUUAAUAGGGAAAAAACAAAGAAAAAACACAUUAUGUGAAAAAAAAAAAAAAAAAAAAAAAAAAAAAAAAAAGGAUGACAGUUUCUGUGAAUCAGGCUCUCAAGAUUAUUUUACCAUAGGUAAUUUUUGUGGUUUUCAUAAAAAUUUGGAGAAAAAGUAAUUAUGCAUAACGGAACCAGCAUUUUAAAAUAGCUCUUGCAUAAAAUAUUCUAUACCAUAUACUAAAUUGCUACAGCAUUUUGCUUCCUUAAGAUGUAGACUGAUAUUUCUGCAUUGAUGUAAAAAGUCUAUCUCCUCCACAUACCGUGGAAAAAGAUGGUCAACUGAUGACAAGCACUUAGUUAAUGAAGAUUACACAUUGGCUUGUGAAGUAAAUCAUGGUCUCUUGUAGGCACAUUCAAGUAAAAUUAAAGUCAUUCUCUGGGGGAAUAGGCCAUUUAACACACAAACACACACACACACGCAUGCACACACACACAUGCAGACAUACACAGAGUGGUAUCAUGUUUCUGGAGGUGGAGAAAAGUGGAAUACUUGUUUGGUCAUUAACUUCUUUCAUUUUUACUAAAUAAUUAGAAAAAUCUCACAUGAUACCUCCCUCUGAAAUCUGUUUUUUUCAUAACUGAGAAGUGAUUGGUCAGAGAAAUUCUUUAAAAGCUAAAUAACUGUCCCAUUCCAACACUGCAUGUGGUAAUGCCUAGAUCUCAGGGUCUAGGCACUAACACAGGACAUAUAUCUAUAUGUAACCACAUUGCUUAAUACAAAUUUUAUAAUGAAUUCAAAUCCAAUACUGUUGAAAUUCUUGACAGUGGAGUAGUGGAAGGAAUAGAACUU